UCAAAAUUGCUUUGGGAAUUGAUGUUGACAGCAAUUAGCAUAACCAGGAAAUUUAAGGCAUUUUUAAAUAUCACACCAGAGGCUAAGCUAAAUGCAUCAAGAUCAAAGUGGUUGAUGAGUUUGUUUAUUAGCUGAUCCAGACCAAGACUGAACAAAUGAACAGGGGACAAGAUGAUUUCUAUUGAAGAAAGAAGACAUUCUAUCAAGGUUUCUGCAUAGCAACAACACACAUCCAAAGUCACAGAUGUUGAAGAAUUUGCAAACAGUGUGAGUGAAGAAAGCCUAGAAAUGAUACAAUAUCUUAAUGCAGAUUUUAACGAAACUCUCAAGACUCUUUCAUGCAGUUCCCAUGCUUGGUGCAUUGAGUAUGUUCAAUGAUUACAUUUCAAUACGGAAAUUACGUUAGCUGCUUUGAUUUUGGUAAACAUGUAAAUUAAGCAUUUUCCUCGUUAGCUUAGAUCAGAAGCUUCUGUAUAGCGGAACAACAGAAUAUGUUAUAUAUUACAACAAAAUUUUGCAGGGACUUAAGACCAUGACAUCCUAAAGGAUCUUGUAGGUGAUGGAACAUUCACAGUUGACCAGGAAAAAAUUGUGAUAAGAGAGAUUUUGGCAGUGUAAGUUCCUUUCAGUCAACAACAUAUGACUACUGCAUAAUAUAUACAAUGACCUGGUUUUGACUAUUGGCAUUGAUGAUAUAACACAGGGUUUAUUCAUGUUGGAUUUGAUUGUUAAAGUUGCUUUGGGAAUUGAUAUU